rnacentral:rRNA from 1 species
GUGUCAGCAGCCGCGGUAAUACGUAGGUGGCAAGCGUUGUCCGGAAUUAUUGGGCGUAAAGCGCGCGCAGGCGGUCUCUUAAGUCUGAUGUGAAAGCCCCCGGCUCAACCGUGGAGGGUCAUUGGAAACUGGGAAACUUGAGUACAGAAGAGGAAAGUGGAAUUCCAUGUGUAGCGGUGAAAUGCGCGGAGAUAUGGAGGAACACCAGUGGCGAAGGCGACUUUCUGGUCUGUAACUGACGCUGAUGUGCGAAAGCGUGGGGAUCAAACAGGAUUAGAUACCCUGGUAGUCCACGCUGUAAGCGAUGAGUGCUAAGUGUUAGGGGGUUUCCGCCCCUUAGUGCUGCAGUUAACGCAUUAAGCACUCCGCCUGGGGAGUACGACCGCAAGGUUGAAACUCAAAGAAAUUGGCGG